GUGCUCGCUUUGGCAGCACAUAUACUAAAAUUGGAACGGUACAGAGAAGAUUAGCAUGGCCCAUGCACAAGGAUGACACGCAAAUUUGUAAAGCGUUCCAUAUUUUU
rnacentral:snRNA from 1 species